AGCAGCCAUGGAAAGGCACGGCAGGGGGGAGCUGGCCCCCCUUUCCUGAAGUGCCAGGCAGGAGGUAAACAGCCUCUUGUGGGCCAGGAGGGAAAGGGCCGACCUUCAAAGGCAGAAGAGAGGAGUAGAGAGAGAGAGCCAAGGGAGAGUUGAACUUAAGGGCAAACCCCUUAAGGCCAAUCUCCACAUACAAAGGGGAAAAUUGCCCCUGCUGAAGUUGGAGCGACUGAGCCUGUUUGUCCUCAUUGCAAAUGCAAUUUUGGUGUCAUUGAUGAGAGAUCUGGGAUUACGAUUUCUGGCCACUUUAACAGACAUUUGGGGAAGGAAACAGAAUAAUUUUGAGGACUCUCCAAAAACCCAAA